UACGUAGGGUGCAAGCGUUAAUCGGAAUUACUGGGCGUAAAGCGUGCGCAGGCGGUUUUGUAAGCCAGAUGUGAAAGCCCCGGGCCUAACCUGGGAAUGGCAUUUGGGACUGCACGGCUAGAGUGCGGCAGAGGGGGAUGGAAUUCCGCGUGUAGCAGUGAAAUGCGUAGAUAUGCGGAGGAACACCGAUGGCGAAGGCAAUCCCCUGGGCCUGCACUGACGCUCAUGCACGAAAGCGUGGGGAGCAAACAGG
rnacentral:rRNA from 1 species